rnacentral:snRNA from 1 species
AGAUUCUGAGAAUAAUCUGGGUGUGACAUCUGUACCCCAUUCAUUGCCAGAGUUGGUUUUCUUGAGCUGGUUGGCGAGGCUCCUGUCCCCUUUCUUCUGCACUUUUCUAUGUAUUUCCCUCUGUAGAAACUUCCUCAGAGGCAGAUUGGUCUUUGGUCAAGUGUGUAUGGGUAACUGCGUUCUCCUGCUAGAUAUUGAAAAUGAGCUCUGAAACUAUUUUUCAAUUAAAUGUAUGCCAUUGUUUAGUGGAAGUUCAGAUUAUCUUUAAAAAAUAUACCAGUGAAUUU